GCUGGGCAUGGUGGCAUGUGCCUGUAGUCCCAGCUACUUGGGGGGCUGAGGCAGGAGGAUCGCUUGAGCCUAGGAGGUCAAGGCUGCAGUGAGCCAUGUUCGUGCUACUGCACUCUAGCCUGGACGACAAAGUGAGACCCUGUCUCAA
rfam:Nomascus leucogenys chromosome 11, whole genome shotgun sequence.